UGCCAGCCGCCGCGGUAAUACGGAGGGUCCAAGCGUUAUCCGGAUUUAUUGGGUUUAAAGGGUGCGUAGGCGGAAUAAUAAGUCAGUGGUGAAAUCCUGCGGCUCAACCUGGGAAUUGCAUUCGAUACUGCUUAGCUAGAGUAUGAGAGAGGGUAGUGGAAUUCCGGGUGUAGCGGUGAAAUGCGUAGAUAUCCGGAGGAACAUCAGUGGCGAAGGCGGCUGCCUGGCUCAAUACUGACACUGAGGUGCGAAAGCGUGGGGAGCGAAAGGGAUUAGAUA
rnacentral:rRNA from 1 species